UCUAGGUCUGACUUAUCCACUCCUGGAGGGGGUUGGAAAACAAAUCUGCGGAGCAAGCCUGCAAAGAAGAGGAACAGCUCCAUUUUGGCAAGUCCUUCUCCAACGCAAGCCCUUCGUCCUGAAAACAACCAGGAGAGAAAUAAAUUAUCAGCACCAUAACCAUUAGUGUUGAUGUCUGAGACCUUCUAAAUUGGAUGUACAGUCUGUAAGAACAGGCUGCUGAGGCAGCUCUCCUGGUUCAAUGACGUGGUUCAUUUCUUCCUGAAUCUUUCCUUGGAGGGAGGAAAGGAUUAAGAAGCUGAUAACCCUCUUAUCUUGCAACUGGAAUGGCCAAGAUGAAGAAAAGGGAAAACUUUGAGGGGUAUUUGGGAGAGCAGAAGUGGGUAUUUCUGCUCUCUCUCCAAAUUCUUCAGCAUGAUUUGAAAGGGCAUCCUUGAUGGUUUCAUACCCAGCCAGUACUACAGCUUUCCUGGGUCCAAAAUGCACAGUGAAGACAUUGCCAUAUAUCUUGGAGAGCUGUCAAGGUCCACCACGUUCAAGUUUCCAAUCAGAGGAAGAGGUCGCGGCCCAGGAGGCAAACUGCAAACCGACUUCUUCAAGCUGGGGCAGAAUUAAGGGACCUGUGUUGGAUUGCUCUCAUGGUGCCAAAUCACAGGACUCAGCUGGACCUCUCGUGAUGCAAUGAAAAAAGCAGGACACAGGAGGAAAAACUCACAAUAAUGCAUGGCCCAGGGUGCAGCUGGCAAGCAAGUCUUCAGGGAAGACAGUGCUGUCCAAGGAGGAGUUGGAAUAGUGGUGGCAUGAAGAUGUGCUAAUUCGGGACUGCAGACAGGAGUAGGGCUACCUACAGGUGACAGCUCUGAUUCUCUCUGCUUUCCUGCCACCCCAGGAAAAUCAUACCCUUGAGCAACACAAUGCUUUCAUUGCUGACACUGUUAUUGAUCUUUGUCCCAGAAAUCCUCUACCAGCAAUCCCCAAACGCCCCUGAAACCACUUUAGUCACUAUUUUGCAGUUUACUGUCAAGAGGACUGUGUGCCUGGAUGUCCAUCUGUAUCUCUCAGUUUGGUGAUGACUCUCUCCUGGCUGUCCUGCCUGUUUACAAGCAGAUGCAUACAAUCCUCUAGGAGAAACCAUCCCCUCCAGGCAAUCCUUCUGCCUAGACUGGGAAAGAAAUCCCUGAUCUUUGUAACCUGGAAGGAGCCAGGAUCAAGCUCUGCAGCUGGCCAGGCAGAGGCUGGAGGCUGCCUGGGCAGCUCUUUGCAGAGGGGCUGCCAGCCAGGAGGAGCACCCAGCAACAGCUCUGGCACUCUGGGGUACUGAGUCACGCACCGUGCCAGGGCAGGGUCCUGCAAGAGCCCACGUGCCCAGGCGACAGCUCCCCAGGAGCCACCCGCACCCUUUGCAUCCUUGGGGGAUGUCAACAAUGCAGAAAUAGUCAUGAACAGGAGGCCACAGUUUUAAAUGGUGACUCUAGGGGAAGGAGCCAAUUUGAUGCUCUCUCACAUAUUCUCAGGUGGGGAUAUUUUGCUCCCCAGUUGCAGGUUCUGACAGAUUAAUGGACCAUGCUGCUGUUCAACUGUUUACAAAUCUUUAGUUUUAAUAAUCCUUUUGCUAGAAUCCUCCAAGGCUCCACUGAUGGAAAAAUUAAGA